rnacentral:rRNA from 1 species
AUCGGGGUUGCGGACAGUGCCUGGUGGGUAGUUUGACUGGGGCGGUCUCCUCCCAAAGAGUAACGGAGGAGCACGAAGGUGGGCUAAUCACGGUUGGACAUCGUGAGGUUAGUGCAAUGGCAUAAGCCCGCUUGACUGCGAGAAUGACAAUUCGAGCAGGUGCGAAAGCAGGUCAUAGUGAUCCGGUGGUUCUGAAUGGAAGGGCCAUCGCUCAACGGAUAAAAGGUACUCCGGGGAUAACAGGCUGAUACCGCCCAAGAGUUCAUAUCGACGGCGGUGUUUGGCACCUCGAUG